ACGGUCGUAGCCCCUCAAUGUACAAGAUGGAAACAACAAAAUCAUUCUAAUACAUGGCUGUAACCCCCUCAGUGUAUAGGAAUUAAAAUACAUGACUCUAGUACACAGUCGUAGCCUCUUAGUGUACAAGAUGGAAACAACAUAAUCAUCCUUUUACACGGCUGUAACCCCUCAGUGUAUCGGAGUUAAAAUACAUAACUCUAGUACACUGCCAUAGCCCCUCAGUGCACUAGAGUAAGAUAAUUACAUCAAUUAUUUUCUGAUAAUUUCAAAACAAUCAUGCUCAUUUACUAAUUUCUCGAAAAUAAGGCAUUUCAUGUAACUAAUAUGCUUCUAUAAAAUAAAAAGAAAAUCUUCUUUUUGGAAAAGUAGGUUCUCCACUUACAGAACUAUGUAUGAAAACUUGAUUUAAUUGACGAGCCUUUCUAAACUUUCACGUCUCUACCCGAAACAACGGUAUAAUUUCUCAAAU
rnacentral:lncRNA from 1 species